CAUUCAUUUCAGCCUCGAAGCCAAAGUUGUAUUUAAUACAGGUGGAGCAAGACUCGAGCCAAAGGCUCGAAAAAUAGUUUAGGACAGGUGAAAUGGGUCGGAAGCCCAACUAGACUAGGACAGGUCUCGUUGAUUUGGGCCCAAUGGCCUAAAUCCUUUACUUUCUCCUCCCUUCCCCUUUUAUGUGUUUAUUUGUUUAUUAGUUUUGUUUAGACUUAGUUAAAAUCCCUACUAAGUCACCUAAAUCUAUUUUACACAAGUCUUUUUUUUGAAAAAAAUCAAAUCACUAUUUCAACA
rnacentral:lncRNA from 1 species